rnacentral:rRNA from 1 species
AACCCUGCAUUCAGUUGCCAACGGUAAGGCCGGGCACUCUGGAUGGACUGCCGGCGACAAGCCGGAGGAAGGUGGGGAUGACGUCAAGUCAUCAUGGCCCUUAUGUCCAGGGCGACACACGUGCUACAAUGGCCGGCACAGCGGGAAGCGAGGGGGCGACCUUGAGCGGAUCCCUCAAAGCCGGUCUCAGUUCGGAUUGCAGUCUGCAACUCGACUGCAUGAAGUUGGAAUCGCUAGUAAUCGUGGAUCAGCCAAGCCGCGGUGAAUACGUUCCCGGGCCUU